rnacentral:rRNA from 1 species
UACGUAGGGAGCGAGCGUUAUCCGGAUUUAUUGGGUGUAAAGCGUGUGUAGGCGGUAAAUUAAGUCUAAGGUUUAAGCCCGGAGCUCAACUCCGGUUCGCCUUAGAAACUGAUUUUCUUGAGUAUGGUAGAGGCAAGUGGAACUACAUGUGUAGCGGUAAAAUGCGUAAAUAUAUGUAAGAACACCGGUGGCGAAGGCGGCUUGCUGGGCCUGUACUGACAUUGAGGCACGAAAGCGUGGGGAGCAAACAGG